UUCCCUUUGUUUACUUUCAUUGAAGAAAACAACAUAAGAGAGGGGGAGAUUGAAGAUAUAAUUUUGAACGUAGCAGGAAUUGGAAUUGGACCGCCAAUCAGAAAAUCCUUCAAGUAUUCCCUCAAAGUUCUUGAAACUGAUAUUCAACAUGCUAAUACUCUGUGGAGCUUAGAGCUCUUCAAGAUGUUGCAACAGGAUGAUCGUUGAAGUCAUUUAAGUUCCUUAAGACCAAAACACCUCCCACAAGUUCACCAGAUCUGAAGUUUGGGCAUUUGAAUUCAAGGACCCCAUGGUGAAACUCUAUAAUGCAAGAUCAACUUUCGAGCAAGCUCGAUUCAGUUUGGUGAGUGAAUGUGGCGCUGGAGCAUCUCAAGGGAUCUCUUUGACUUUAAUUCAAAAAGUGUUACCACAAUAGCAAAGGCAUGUUGAAUUUUUUUCCUUUUGAAUCCUAAAUUCAGGCAAUCUCUAUUUCUAAUGUUGAAGCAAAGAAAUGGUUAGAAUUCCUGAAAGCAUUUAAUGGUACAAUGGAUGGUCGUCUUCGUUAUUUCAAACAACCAUGUCAUACACAUGGGAGCUAUUCUAGCCUAUUUGUUUUCAAUUUCUUAUAUUUUAU